AUUGUUGCCGUGAAUAUCAUUGUUGCUUGCCUUGUGUUGGUGCUUGCGUGAUUGUUGGUUACUUGGGUAACUUGUUGUUGCCGUGGCCAUUGUGAGUUGGGUUGCUCAUUUGGUUGCCGUGAGUAUUUGUUGGUUGCUUGUGGUGUUGAGUGAGGUUCAGCCAUUGUUGGGUUUGGGUUAUAAACCUUCUUGCCGUGAGACUCCUUGGUGGUUGAGGUUGUAGUUGGCAGCCGUGAGUGUUAUUGUUGCUUGAGUAACUUGUUGGCACUUUGAGGCGCAUUGUUGGUGCUACUCACUUGUUGUUGCCGUGAGAGUUUGGAGGUGUUGCCGUGUGACCCUCCUUUUGUUGUGAGGUUGGUGUUGCCGUGUGAACCUCUUUGUGGUUGGAGUAUUGCAAGUUGCCGUGGGCUUCCAUUGUAACUCAUUGUGGUGUUGAAUUGUUGGCAUUAUCACCUUGAUUGCCGUGAGGUUCUUGGAGUAUCCUAGGGUGUUGGAUUAUUGCCGUGAACUUUGAGGUGAUUUGGUGUUGGGACAUUGCCGUGAGGUUCCUUGGCUUUUGGAACUUGUUUGGGAUUGGUUGCCGUGAGCCUUUGGUAUAAGGGUGGUAGCCGUGGGAUCCUAGGGACUUUGAGGCUGACUUGCUUGUGGAGUGCAAGUGC
rnacentral:misc_RNA from 1 species